UUGCUUCCAAGUUGUUGUGCAACAAAUUGAGAACUCUAAGAACUCAUAUGCAAAGCCAACUUUAACUGGAAUGGGCACAGAAUAUGUCAACACGAUAGGUUAUGAACCUCAAGUUGUGUGCUAGUGAAGAACUUUAGGUUUUAUUCUUGAUUAGUUCUUGAGACUUUCAAGACCUUUAAGACUCCCACUGUCCUCUUGACCUAUAAGACUCCCUUGUCAAACAUCCAAGAGAUAGUGUGGAUUCUAAUCAAGACAAACACUUCACACAAUUGGCCUAAGUUGGUCUUUGUUUUAUCCAAAACAUCACAACUUACCAAUUUCAAAUGUACAAGAGUAGAAAACUUUUACUCUUACAUUUGACAAGUGUUUUAAACCUUCUUUAAGACAUGUCACUCAAGUUACAAUCUUGGAGUAUGACUCUAAGACUUGUAUUGGAACGAAGUAUGACUCAUCUUCUUGAUUUAACCAUUUCAACAAUUCAAGUUCCUCUUCUUAGUCAUAAGAAUGCACUAAGAUUUCCUUAGAGAACUAAUUUUGAUAUGGUUUCUUAAUCAUUAAGAUGAUCAAAAAACUGAUACUAAAGUACUCUCCCAUCUUUUCAGAUUUGAGAAACUUCUAUCCUUCUGCCUAAUUUGAUUCUUCUUAUUCGCUCUGCCAUACAUUGAACAUCUUCCAAUGUUUCAGAAUUAUACUUCAACUUGUAAGUAUAACCAUAUUUACUGAGCUUUAGUAAACUAUGAUGAAUAGUCUUAUCGAUCUUUUAUGGUGGACUUAGUCAGUACACAAGAAUGUGUACUCGAUCCCUUAGUCCUUUACUUGACUCACACAUCCAUGUGAACAAGUAAUUAGUCUUAAUUUUCCAAUACUUGAAAGUUCUCAUUCAUCAUGCUAUACAACUUGCAUGAUUCCAAGUUCCGGUCCAAUUGAAACUUGGGUGAUGAGAAUCUUUCCUUAUUUGGUAAAUUUAGACAUUACCACAAAUGAAAGAAUCAAUUUCAUAUUUCCACUCUUGCUAUUAAUGGAAUCAUAUAAGCAACAAUUUUUCCUCAAAUGCCAUUGUAAGGAUAUUUUAAAAUAAAUAAAAUCAAAAUUUUCUUUUAUUUUAAACUUUGCGGAAAAACUUAUCCUUACAAUCCAUAUGAAAACUUGUUGUUAUCUAUUCUUAAGCAAUAUCUCAUAACUCCUAAGAAGUAGCUCAAGAAUCCGAUCUACAAACUACACGAUAGAAAUCCAUCUAUGCGAUCAGAUUCAGCAUACACUUUCUUUAAGUUUCUUCCUUUUCUUUGAUUCUUAAAACAGCACCAUGUGACCCAAUCACAUCAUGUAUCAAGAAUCUCAGAAAGAAACUUAANAAUUAUGAAGAGGGAUGCCGUAAUCAUAAUGGUUAGACCUUUUUGCCACUUCUCACAAGUCCAGGUUAGUGUGCCGGUAAACCACACACGCUCCACUAACGACUUUGAGAAUGCAAAUAUCACAAUUGCUAUCUAGCUAAAAUCUACUUGGUGAAAGUGUUUCCUCACCAUCAUUUUCAAGAAUCGGAGAGAAACCGUAUGACACUUAGAUUUAAUGGUGUAUGUGUUCUUAUCCAUGUGAAUUGUCAAAACCAUGGUCAUAAGACAAGGAUAAUGACAAAUCCAAACUCUUUUGGAUUGACAUCAAUCUUAACUUCUUGCUACCUGACAGCUCAAGGGCCUGCCAUUGCCUCCAAGUUGUUGUGCAACACAUUGAUAACUCUAAGAACUCAUAUGCAAAGCCAACUUUAACUGGAAUGGGCAUAGAAUAUGUCAACACGAUAGGUUAUAAACCUCAAGUCGUGUGCUAGUGAAGAACUUCAGGUUUUUAUUCUUGAUUAGUUCUUGAGACUUUCAAGACUUUUAAGACUCCCACUGUCCCUUGACCUAUAAGACUCCAUUGUCAAACAUCCAAGAGAUAGUGUGGAUUCUAACCAAGACAAACACUUCACACAAUUGGCCUUAAUUGGUCUUUUUUUUUAUCCAAAACAUCACAACUUACCAAUUUCAAAUGUACAAUAGUAGGAAACUUUUACUCUUACAUUUGACAAGUGUUUUAAACCUUCUUUGAGACAUGUCACUCAAGUUACAAUCUUGGAGUAUGACUCUAAGACUUGUAUUGGAACGAAGUAUGACUCAUCUUCUUGAUUUAACCACUUCACCAAUUCAUAGCUCCUCUUCUUAGCUAUUANN
rnacentral:lncRNA from 1 species